AACGAACGCUGGCGGCAUGCCUCAUACAUGCAAGUCGAACGAGGUUUUCGGACCUAGUGGCGCACGGGUGAGUAACAUGUGGGAAUCUACCUGAAGGUUCGGAAUAACUGCGGGAAACUGUAGCUAAUACCGGAUGUGUCUGCAAAGAGAAAGAUUUAUCGCCUUCAGAUGAGCCCGCACUAGAUUAGCUAGUUGGUGAGGUAAUUGCUCCACCAAGGCUACGAUCUAUAGCUGAUUUGAGAGGAUGAUCAGCCACACUGGGACUGAGACACGGCCCAGACUCCUACGGGAGGCAGCAGUAGGGAAUAUUGGACAAUGGGGGAAACCCUGAUCCAGCAAUGCCGCGUGAGUGAAGAAGGCCUUCGGGUUGUAAAGCUCUUUCAUCAAUGAUGAUAAUGACAUUAGUUGAAGAAGAAGCCCCGGCUAACUUCGUGCCAGCAGCCGCGGUAAUACGAAGGGGGCUAGCGUUGUUCGGAAUCACUGGGCGUAAAGCGUAUGUAGGCGGAUCAAAAAGUUAGAUGUGAAAUCCCUGGGCUCAACCCAGGAACUGCAUUUAAAACUAGUGAUCUAGAAUUUGGUAGGGGUUAGUAGAAUUUCCUGUGUAGAGGUGAAAUUCGUAGAUAUAGGAAAGAAUACCAGUGGCGAAGGCGACUAACUGGGCCAUUUUUGACGCUGAGAUACGAAAGCGUGGGUAGCAAACAGGAUUAGAUACCCUGGUAGUCCACGCAGUAAACGAUGAGUGCUAGUCGCUGGGACAAUAGUUUCAGUGUCGAAGCUAACGCAUUAAGCACUCCGCCUGGGAAGUACGGUCGCAAGAUUAAAACUCAAAUAAAUUGACGGGGGCCCGCACAAGCGGUGGAGCAUGUGGUUUAAUUCGAAGCAACGCGAAGAACCUUACCAGACCUUGACAUGGUAUGUUUGAAUUACAGAAUCGUAAUUCUUCAGUUCGGCUGGCAUACACACAGGUGCUGCAUGGCUGUCGUCAGCUCGUGUCGUGAGAUGUUGGGUUAAGUCCCGCAACGAGCGCAACCCUCAUUUUUAGUUGCCAUCAGGUUAAGCUGGGCACUCUAAAAAAACUGCCGGUGAUAAGCUGGAGGAAGGCGGGGAUGACGUCAAGUCCUCAUGGCCCUUACGGUCUGGGCUACACACGUGCUACAAUGGUGGUGACAAUGAGCAGCGAUACUGCAAAGUAAAGCUAAUCUUAAAAAACCAUCCCAGUUCGGAUUGGACUCUGCAACUCGAGUCCAUGAAGUUGGAAUCGCUAGUAAUCGUAGAUCAGCGUGCUACGGUGAAUACGUUCUCGGGCCU
rnacentral:rRNA from 1 species